CUCUGUUAUGUAGCGCGUGCUUGCUCCCGCUUCUCGAGAAAGAGUACUGUGGACAAGAGUUACCGAUAGAAAAUGAUGUAGAUUUGGUCUACAUAUGAUGUCCAAUACAUCCUGUGAAGCGCAUUUUAUGGAAAAAGGAUUUCCCAUGCGACCCUAGCCAGCAUACGGUCGAUCCAGUGAGAUGCCUUCGUGAGUUUGAUCGUUAAUUUUGAUAACAUCUUUUCACAAAACGAAGCCGAUCAUUUCCAAGUGUGGACUGGUGACCUAGAGAGUGAAACAAGAACGUUUUCUCCACCAAAACUUAAUCAAUCCAGCAAAAUGUUUAUCGAAACACUUGAGUUCACGAUACCUAUGGACUUGUAUGAUGUGUUUUCCACUUUGAAAGACGGACCAAAGGAAAACCUUGAAUUUCCAGCGUCUGUGAAUUCCUACGGCACAACUCAAGAUGCCAACAUUCAAGUGACUCUACGGUCUAACAAGUUGACUUUUGUUGUGGAUGGUGUCUCAUCAAACGCAAGUAUGAUUUCUAAAAGUGAGUGUAAAACGCUGAAACUUGCAGUAUUCGAUGUGGAUCGGACAUUAAUAGCUCAAGAAAAUGCGCCGAUGAUGAUGACGCAAAUGGCAUUACCAUCAUUUUCACCUCGAACCAAAAGGUCGCACGAGUUUUCAGUUUCAGAUCAUUCUAAUGUAAAAUUUAGUCGGACUUCCUAUUCCGAAUCCACACCACCACGAAGUCAACCCCGCAACAUUCCACAUGCUCAAACCACACCACGUCCGUCCAACACUCCAAAAUCAAGAAAUGACCCCCCAGUGAAUGUGAAACAAGAACCAGAAGAUCCAGAUUUAAUAGAAAUAGAACCGGAUCCAGAACUUGACGACAUUGUGCCAAAGAAAGAGACUCCAUACAUGCAAAUAGAUUAUUCCUCAGAUGUACCUCAUACGCAAACGUCCCAAGCAGCUUUAGAUCGACUCUCUCAUCUACAAUCAUCCCAUUCUCAAUCACCCGGUUCUUCAUCAUCGUCCUUCCAUCAAAACGUUCCACAUGUGCCAGAUUACGCCGAACCCAGUACUAGUCAAGUUCAUCAUGGUGACCAAAGUGCAGAUGACUAUUUAGUGUUCCAAGACGACAAUGACUACGGCGACGAUAACGGAGCAGAUUAUAGCAAUGACGAUAAUCAUGGUCACACUGGUGUGACUAGGAGUCUGCCAAACAAUCAGAUCUGGGAUUAUGGACACAAUCAGUUUUCUGUCAUGGACCCGGUUAGGUUCUGUCAGGUUCCCAGACUUCAGGCCAGCACUGAGUCUAGUUUAGGAGGCUUCCCUUGUGCUCAGUGUAACAAAGUGUUUGCAAGUCAUGGCUCAAGGCGAAAUCACAUCCGAUCUUUUCAUGAACGAAUGUCUUACACCUGCGUCUGUGGUAAAGUGUACUCCUAUGAAUCGAGUUUGAUACAUCACAAGAAAGUCUGUCCUGUCUGUGUUGAAGCGUCCAGCUAGAAAAGAGGUUGUCAUGGUUACGAUAACAGAUUUACUGGGCCCAUUUCAUCAUACGCUUUUGUCCAAGUAGAUGAACAAUUUGGACAAGAGUUAUUCCCCCUGAAUCGCAAAGGUCAUGGUCGACCAUACCCUGAACCUAUCGAAGGGAACUACCCUUGUUCUCAGUGUGACAAGGUGUUUUCUAACUCAGGAACAAGAUGGCAUCAUGUAUCUGCAGUGCAUGAUAAAGUAGUGUUCACGUGUGACUGCGGAAAACAGUUCAACUACAGACACAACCUUGUGAGGCACAAAAAGACUCAGCAUUGUGGUUGAAAGACCCCUGGGGAGCUGAAAUAUAUUUUGAAAAAAAAUUGGGUCAUCAAGUUUGGGAUGGUAUUAGGUCAAGCAUGGUUGGGCAGUCUAUUGACUUUGAUCCCAGCCUUGGCGCCUCCAGUAGAAACAUUCGGGGUCGUGUAUACCCCAACCAAGUUCAAGGAAAAUAUCCAUGCCCAGAUUGUGACAAAACUUUUGCCAGCUCCGGAGCCCGAUGGAACCAUGUGGGAGCUGUGCAUGAUAAAGUUGUGUAUAGUUGUGUGUGUGGAAAACAGUACAACUACAGUCAUGCAUUGAAACGCCAUGAAAAGUCAUGUGUGGUAUAUUUUAACAGGGGAAAGCAAUUGAUAUAGACUGAUGGAAUUAUUGAUCUCUUGGGACAGUGUUUCGUAAACAUUUGUGCAGUACAUUGCACACAAUGAAGACUUCAGAACUUUCACUGUUGUAACUUUCUCUUUGUGAUGGUGUGGCGGCCAUUGAUUUACAACAUAGUUUUACCAACAUCAGUGCAUCAGUCACACAUCUGUGUACAAGCAUAACCCAAACUUAAAAACAUAACGGGGCACGGGUGGCCCAGUCGUCUAAGGCGCCGUGAUUUGCUGUGCAGAGUUGAGUCCCUUGGGCACCCCAGAAACCUAUGAUUGUGGGUUCGAAUCCCGGUUCGCCCCAAUUAUGUU
rnacentral:misc_RNA from 1 species